AAUUAAUGGCGCCUUUACUUUUCAUUUUUUUUAUUAUUUUACACAACACUCUCAUUCUGAAUAUGGGUUCUCUCUAAACGCCUAAAUCCCUUCAUUCUCACCAUUCAUUUCAUCGAUUCUCUCUAGCCUCCACGAGAGAGUGCUCAAACCACACGGCGUCGUUCUCCUCCACCGGCGGUCAGAUUGGUCUACUCCAACAUCACGAAGUCGCUCUCCACCCCAUCGGCUCGACUUAGCAAACAUCAAAGGUGACGGCGCCUGGCGGAGGCAGAGGCAAAGGCGAGGUCACGGGUUCGACGAUGCGUGGGUCUUCUUCUCCUCAGCACACGACGGAGGCGAGAUCUGGCUACACUUUCCUAAUUGCAAAUGCUGCAAGGGUGAGAGCCUUCUUUGGAUGCCCAGUUGAUGAACGCAAGGACUUUCUGCUGCAGAUGAUGUAUAGUCCUCAGGACUGUUGAGGUACUUUGUAAAAUUGCAGAUAAGUGAGUCUAGGCUUCAAAAGUGAUGUUAAUUUAACAUACCAUAGUUGUAGCAAGAAUAAAAAUAAUAAUAAUUCAGUGUAACAAACAUUUAUAGUUUUUUCAGAUGACUGUGUUCGGUUGUUUUGAUUAUCAAGUUAAUAGAUAGAAUCAUUUUCUAGUU